rnacentral:pre_miRNA from 1 species
UUAAUACUCCCUCCAUCCAGAAAUACUUGUCAUCAAAAUGGAUAAAAGGAGAUGUAUCUAGAUGUAUUUUAGUUCUAUAUACAUCCCUUUUUGUCCAUUUUGAUGAUAAGUAUUUUCGGACGGAGGGAGUACUCU